AAAUAAUUGGUGGCUUCCUCAAUUAUUGUGACAUGCUACAUGCAAGUUGUCAGGAAUGCUCCAAGCAAUUAAGUAUAUGGAAUUUUAGGUGCUAAACAAAUUAGAACUGGACAAAAGAAUCAGUACGACUGAAUGCAUUAGAGCCCAUAGCUUACACGGCACAGCUUUUGGUAUUCCAGCAGUAAUCUUCCAAAGUUUUUGUGGUCUUGUCUUCAAUGAUGAAUCAACUAGCCCUGUCUGUUUCAGUGCUCAACUAAUCCAAGAAAAGAAUGAGGAACUUAUGGGAUAUUGAUCUCUGACUCGGACC
rnacentral:lncRNA from 1 species